UGCAUGUUCAAUAAAAAAUGGAUUUACACAGAAAUGCUACUUAACUUUGAAAUAUUUCUACUUGCAUACAAACUAUUAUUCUUACGGUAGUUCUAAAAGUUUCCGCAGCAACGCGCGGGGUAUCAUCCAGUAACAGUUUGUUUGUUCACCCAAAAGCCCCAUGUCCCAAGUUGGAUCCGUCCCUGUCGACGAUACGAGUGCUGAUGCUGCAGCGGCGCCGGAGGAGGAGAAGAAGAAGAAGAAGAUGGCCGGAGCCAUAUUCGAUACGCAGCUCAUCAUUCGCGAGCCGGUGACGGGCACGGGGGCCGCCAGCCACCGCACGACCACCACCGGGUUCCCCUUCUCGGUGUCGCUGAGCCUCGCCGCGCCGCCGGCGAUCUCCCACGUCCACCUGCACCCGAUGGCGGCGCCCCACACCCUCAAGCACGGCCUCUCCUCGCUCCUCGCCGCGGACGCCCACCACCUCCUCCUCUGCGUCGUCGUCCCCGUCAAGACCAGGUACUACAGCUACGACCACCCGGAGGAGUUCUUCGUCUACACCGCCGCCUCUGCCGUCACCCCUACGCUGACGCGCCUCCCUGCUUUCCCCGACGGCCGCCAGCGCUCGUCCGGGGACAUCGGCAUCUUGACCCAUGGUGGUGGUGGCUUCACCGUUUCAUCUUUGCAGAUGUGGAUGCUCCAAUUGAUCAAGUUCCCUUUUCCUGAGAGCGAAAUUCAACUCUUGUUCCAUGUUAAGACUGCGUCCUUCAGGACAGUCGGUGUCUCUGAUGGGAAGAUCAAGUUCGUAGAUGUUGACAAGUGCCGCUCCCGGCCCUCUGCCAUCGUUAUCAGGGCGUGGACACUGCAAAUGCCACAGAUGGUAUGGAAGUUGGAUGAUGUGCUCGAUGUCAACGGCCUGUGGGGGUCAGCAUCCUUCAAGAAAUACGGUUUGCAUCAGUGGGUACCAGAGUAUCCUGUGGUGAGCUUACUAGACCCACACAUUGUGCACUUUGUGCUGCGCCAACCUAUAUACCAUGAGCAGGUCUGGAUGAUCACAGUUGACAUGAGGGCCAAGUCAGUUGUGUCGUGCAAGAACUAUCCAAACGGUGAGAAGGGGUAUGAAUACAAGGGGCUGUUGUUCAACCCAUAUUACAUCUCUAGUGAGCUCUCAAAGUAA
rnacentral:lncRNA from 1 species